UACGUAGGUGGCAAGCGUUGUCCGGAUUUAUUGGGUUUAAAGGGUGCGUAGGCGGUUCCAUAAGUCAGUGGUGAAAUACGGCAGCUCAACUGUCGAGGUGCCAUUGAUACUGCGGAACUUGAGUGUUGAUGAGGCAGGCGGAAUUGACGGUGUAGCGGUGAAAUGCUUAGAUAUCGUCAAGAACACCGAUAGCGAAGGCAGCUUGCCAAGCAACAACUGACGCUCAGGCACGAAAGUGCGGGGAUCAAUCAGG
rnacentral:rRNA from 1 species